UGGAGUGGAGUGGAGUGGAGUGG
rnacentral:miRNA from 1 species